rnacentral:lncRNA from 1 species
AUUCCUGGGUUUGAAAGAACAAUGAUCAAGUUGUGAGUUUCCAGUAUUCUGGUACAUGUUAGAUUUGAAAUACGUAACAUCUCAAGGUUGUCAGAAGUCAAAGAUGAGCAUCAAGUACUUGCCUUUCUUCCUGACUUAAGAUUCAUGAGGAAUUGAAGCAGCAAAGAAUUAAAAAUUUUUGAAAAGGUGGAGAAGAUUAUUAUUCUCCAUUUACUAACUUAAAAAACAUUACUGAUUGGUUUACUAAUAUUUACUUUAGCAAAACAUAUAAAAAGUCCAUUAUCUUAAAAUUAUAUAGAUUGAAAUUAUGAUAUUUCAGUGUAUUUCCUUUGAUCAUAUAACACCAAAAGGCUAGUUUAAAAACAAGCUACCUUUAAAAA